rnacentral:rRNA from 1 species
AUGGUACUACUUCAGCUAUGUGCAGAUCCAGCUCGGGAUGGCCGCAAAGACACGAAUUUGUUGGUUGAUACCGCAUUGUCGCUGUCUUGGGUUGGAUGUGAGCCUUGCAUCAACGGAUGCCAAGUCCAAUCUUCAACCCCAACGCGUCCUCCGCAACGCCAUCAACGGAUGGUAGGGUGCAGUUCGGCGCUCUGCAACGCCAUCUCUUCAGCCACCGUGUCUUGCAAAAGCUGGAUCAUGCCACUUCAGAUGUGCUCAUACAACCAGACAUUGGUGUCGCCAACGCUGGUGUGGACAUGCCUAGCAUGUGGUGCUUGUAGAGGGAUCGGUUGUUUUAGGGCUGGUCGUCGCUGCUCAGCUCCGUGGACAUCAAUAUGCCACCGCCGGUUUGCCACCCCAUUGUUAAUCAAUGCAUUCAAUGAUAAGAAUUACACACCUAUCUUCUUUCAUAGCCAGAUUGAAAUUUUGGCUUUGUUCGUUUACGAAAACACCUGGCUGAUUUGUUUUGCUCCAAAAUCUCAUAUCAAUAGUUUUGUGCGUACCAAUAAUCAAUAUGAUUGA